CAGAGGUAAGGAGAGCAGUGACCUCAGGUCUCCUCACUUGAAGCCCGAGGUAAGGAGAGCAGUGACCUCAGGUCUGCCCAACGGAAGCCCGAGGUAAGGAGAGCAGUGACCUCAGGUCUCCCCAACGGAAGCCCGAGGUAGGGAGAGCAGUGACCUCAGGUCUCCCCAACGGAAGCCAGAGGUAGGGGGAGUGGGGAAUCUAUCAAAUAGCGCACCUCUAACUUUGUACAGUACCAAUGCAGUUAGUAAUGCAAUUAGUUGUGCAGUUUAGUCUGGUGUGUUUCUUGUUUGAAGUGCAAUAAUUAGGUUCUCUUCUUUAUAAGUGUGUUAUUCUAUUUGUG
ensembl:lncRNA